AUUGAACGCUGGCGGCAUGCCUUACACAUGCAAGUCGAACGGCAGCGGACCUUCGGGUGCCGGCGAGUGGCGAACGGGUGAGUAAUAUAUCGGAACGUACCUUUCAGUGGGGGAUAACGUAGCGAAAGUUACGCUAAUACCGCAUACUCUGUGAGCAGGAAAGCAGGGGAUCGCAAGACCUUGCGCUGAUUGAGCGGCCGAUAUCAGAUUAGCUAGUUGGUGAGGUAAAGGCUCACCAAGGCGACGAUCUGUAGCGGGUCUGAGAGGAUGAUCCGCCACACUGGAACUGAGACACGGUCCAGACUCCUACGGGAGGCAGCAGUGGGGAAUUUUGGACAAUGGGCGCAAGCCUGAUCCAGCCAUGCCGCGUGAGUGAAGAAGGCCUCGGUUGUAAGGACUCUUUCGGUCCGGGAACGGAAAUACGACACAGGUUAAUAACCCU
rnacentral:rRNA from 1 species